UCGCCAGACUCCUACGGGAGGCAGCAGUCGGGAAUAUUGCCCAAUGGAGGACCCUCUGAUGCAGUGCCACCUCGUAUAGUACGACGGUUUUCGGCUUUUCAACUAUUUUAUCCCGGGAAGAACCCCGCCAGUACCUUUCUCCUAAGCUCCUUCUCCCUACGUGCCCUCCUCCGCGGUCCUCCUUAGGGAGCCCUCGUUAUCCGGACUGAUUGGGUGUAAAGGGUGCGUAGACGGGACAGCAAGUUAGUUGUGAAAGCCCGCGGAGUAACUGAGGAACUGCAACUAAAACUAUUGUUCUUGAGUGCAGGAGAGGAAAGCGGAAUUCCUAGUGUAGCGGUGAAAUUCGUAGAGAGGAGGAGGAACACCAGUGGCGAAGGCGGCGUUCUGGACUGUAACUGACGCUGAGGCGCGAAAGCGUGGGGAGCAAACAGGAUUAGAUACCCGCGUA
rnacentral:rRNA from 1 species